UACGAAGGGGGCUAGCGUUGUUCGGAAUCACUGGGCGUAAAGCGCACGCAGGCGGAUCGAUAAGUCGGGGGUGAAAGCCCGGGGCUCAACCUCGGAAUUGCCUUCGAUACUGUCGGUCUCGAGUCCGGGAGAGGUGAGUGGAAUUCCUAGUGUAGAGGUGAAAUUCGUAGAUAUUAGGAAGAACACCAGUGGCGAAGGCGGCUCACUGGCCCGGUACUGACGCUCAGGCGCGACAGCGUGGGGAGCAAACCGG
rnacentral:rRNA from 1 species